AGACAUUUACCGAGGUCGCGCUCCUGCGCGGUACUCUCACACCAUGUUGUCAAAACCUGUUGCUUCGGCGGGACGUGGCUUAGGCCCCGUCGGCGAAAGCGGACGUGAGCCCGCCGAAGAUUUUAUACUCGUUACUUGACGUCUGAGAAAACAAAAAAUCAAAAAAACUUUCAACAACGGAUCUCUUGGUUCUGGCAUCGAUGAAGAACGCAGCGAAAUGCGAUAAGUAAUGUGAAUUGCAGAAUUUAGUGAAUCAUCGAAUCUUUGAACGCACAUUGCGCCCCUUGGUAUUCCUCGGGGCACGCCUGUUCGAGCGCCGUUUCAAACUUAAGGCCAUGCCUUGCGUUGGCAGAGUCCGUUUGCGGACCCGCCGAAACUCAUGGGCGUCUUUUCGGGAUGUUACAGCGUAGCAAGUCAUCGCUUUGGCUUCCGAGAGAGACCGCCAAUCUCAAGAGUUUGGCCUCGAAUCAGGUGAGGAUACCCGCUGAACUUAAGCAUAUCAAUAA
rnacentral:misc_RNA from 1 species